AUUGAACGCUGGCGGAAUGCUUUACACAUGCAAGUCGAACGGUAGAGGGGCAACCCUUGAGAGUGGCGAACGGGUGAGUAAUGUAUCGGAACGUGCCCAGUCGUGGGGGAUAACGUAGCGAAAGUUACGCUAAUACCGCAUACGAUCUAAGGAUGAAAGCGGGGGAUCGCAAGACCUCGCGCGAUUGGAGCGGCCGAUAUCAGAUUAGGUAGUUGGUGAGGUAAAGGCUCACCAAGCCGACGGUCUGUAGCUGGUCUGAGAGGACGACCAGCCACACUGGGACUGAGACACGGCCCAGACUCCUACGGGAGGCAGCAGUGGGGAAUUUUGGACAAUGGACGCAAGUCUGAUCCAGCCAUUCCGCGUGCAGGAUGAAGGCCUUCGGGUUGUAAACUGCUUUUGUACGGAACGAAAAGGCUCUGGUUAAUACCUGGGGCUCAUGACGGUACCGUAAGAAUAAGCACCGGCUAACUACGUGCCAGCAGCCGCCGUAACAC
rnacentral:rRNA from 1 species